GUUCCCGUAGCCCAACCGGAUAGAGCAGCCGCCUUCUAAGCGGCAGGUUACAGGUUCGAGUCCUGUCGGGAACG
rnacentral:tRNA from 1 species